rnacentral:misc_RNA from 1 species
GAUGAAGAACGCAGCGAAAUGCGAUAAGUAAUGCGAAUUGCAGAAUCCGUGAGUCAUCGAAUCUUUGAGCGCACAUUGCGCCCUCUGGUAUUCCGGAGGGCAUGCCUGUUCGAGCGUCAUUAUCACCCCUCAAGCCCGGCUUGUUGUUGGAUGCAGCGCUUAUCCCGCUCCUCCCAAAGAUAAUGACGGCGUCUGUGACGACUCCUGUACACUGAGCUUUCGGGCACGUACACGGCUAGAAGUCCAGACCCGGUCGCCGUCCCCCCCGCGGGGACACCCAUUACCACAAGGUUGACCUCGGAUCAGGUAGGAAUACCCGCUGAACUUAAGCAUAUCAAUAAGCGGAGGA